rnacentral:tRNA from 1 species
GGUUGUGGCUCAGAGGCAGAGCGCUCGUCUCCCAUGUGCGAGGUGCUGGGUUCGAUCCUCAGCACCA